rnacentral:tRNA from 1 species
AUAUAAUUCAAUCACCCUGGUUUUGCAUUCCAGAAUUAAAGCUAGUUUUUAGCUAUGAAUUAUG